ACAGGAUUAGAUACCCUGGUAGUCCACGCCGUAAACGAUGUCGACUUGGAGGCUGUUCCCCUGAGGAGUGGCUUCCGGAGCUAACGCGUUAAGUCGACCGCCUGGGGAGCACGGCCGCAAGGUUAAAACUCAAAUGAAUUGACGGGGGCCCGCACAAGCGGUGGAGCAUGUGGUUUAAUUCGAUGCAACGCGAAGAACCUUACCUACUCUUGACAUCCAGAGAACUUUCCAGAGAUGGAUUGGUGCCUUCGGGAACUCUGAGACAGGUGCUGCAUGGCUGUCGUCAGCUCGUGUUGUGAAAUGUUGGGUUAAGUCCCGCAACGAGCGCAACCCUUAUCCUUUGUUGCCAGCGAUUCGGUCGGGAACUCAAAGGAGAUUGCCGGUGAUAAACCGGAGGAAGGUGGGGAUGACGUCAAGUCAUCAUGGCCCUUACGAGUAGGGCUACACACGUGCUACAAUGGCGCAUACAAAGAGCAGCGACCUCGCGAGAGCAAGCGGACCUCAUAAAGUGCGUCGUAGUCCGGAUCGGAGUCUGCAACUCGACUCCGUGAAGUCGGAAUCGCUAGUAAUCGUGGAUCAGAAUGCCACGGUGAAUACGUUCCCGGGCCUUGUACACACCGCCCGUCACACCAUGGGAGUGGGUUGCAAAAGAAGUAGGUAGCUUAACCUUCGGGAGGGCGCUUACCACUUUGUGAUUCAUGACUGGGGUGAAGUCGUAACAAGGUAAC
rnacentral:rRNA from 1 species